rnacentral:tRNA from 1 species
GUAGCCGUCGGGCGCGGCCUUGGCCACGGCGUUGCUGGCAAUAGCGCCGCCCGCCCCGCUCUUGAUUUCCACCACCAGCGGCUGCU